AAACAAUCCAAGUGUGUCUUUCCAAUCUCCCUGUAGCUGACUCCUACUAAUCCAGGCAGCAUCUGACAAAGCUCCUCUGCACCCUCUCCAAAGCCUCCACAUCUCUCCCGUAACGUG